UACGUAGGGUGCAAGCGUUGUCCGGAAUUAUUGGGCGUAAAGAGCUCGUAGGCGGUUUGUCGCGUCUGCUGUGAAAACUCGGGGCUCAACUCCGAGCUUGCAGUGGGUACGGGCAGACUAGAGUGCGGUAGGGGAGACUGGAAUUCCUGGUGUAGCGGUGGAAUGCGCAGAUAUCAGGAGGAACACCAGUGGCGAAGGCGCCGCUCUGGGCCGUGACUGACGCUGAGGAGCGAAAGCGUGGGUAGCAAACAGG
rnacentral:rRNA from 1 species